rnacentral:rRNA from 1 species
UACGGAGGAUGCGAGCGUUAUCCGGAUUUAUUGGGUUUAAAGGGUGCGUAGGCGGGCUGUUAAGUCAGCGGUAAAAGCCCGGGGCUCAACCCCGGCGAGCCGUUGAAACUGGCUGUCUUGAGAUGUCGAGAGGUAUGCGGAAUGCGCAGUGUAGCGGUGAAAUGCUUAGAUAUUAGGAGGAACACCAGUGGCGAAGGCGAUUUGCUGGACUGUAACUGACACUGAGGCACGAAAGCGUGGGGAGCAAACAGG